rnacentral:rRNA from 1 species
CCGCCGCGGUAACACCAGCGCCCCAAGUGGCAACCGCGAUUAUUGGGCCUAAAGCGUUCGUAGCCGGCUGAGUGAAUCUUUUGUGAAAUUGUCAAGCUUAACUUGAUAGCGCGCAGGAGAGACUGCUCAGCUAGGGACCGGGAGGAGUUAGAAGUAUUCCGGGGGGAGCGGUAAAAUGUUAUAAUCCUCGGAAGACUACCUGUGGCGAAAGCGUCUAACCAGAACGGAUCCGACGGUCAGGAACGAAAGCCAGGGGAGCAAAACGGAUUAGAUACCCGAGUAGUCCUGGCUGUAAACUCUGUGAGCAAGGUGUUGCAUAUUCUACAUGAAUGUGCAGUACCGAAACGAAGGUGUUAAGCUCACCGCCUGGGAAGUACGGUCGCAAGACUGAAACUUAAAGGAAUUGGCGGGGGAGCACUACAAGGGGUGCGGCGUGCGGUUUAAUCUAAUUCCACACAGAGAAUCUCACCAGGAGCGACGGCAGAAUGAAAGUCAUGCUGAAGACAUUACUUGACGAGCCGAGAGGUAGUGCAUGGCCGCCGUCAGCUCGUGCCGUAAGGUGUCCUGUUAAGUCAGGCAACGAGCAAGACCUGUAUCCACAAUUGCUAUCGGAUCCUCUAGGAUGACUGGGCACUUUGUGGGGACUGCCUCGGAAACGAGGAGGAAGGUGCAGGCAACGGUAGGUCUGUAUGCUCCGAAUCUCCUGGGCUACACGCGCGCAACAAUGGUAGGGACAAUGGGAUACGACUCCGAAAGGAGAAGUUAAUCCUCGAAACCCUAUCCAAGUCCGGAUUGAGGAUUGUAACUCAUCCUCAUGACGAUGGAAUCCCUAGUAAUGAGACGUCAUCAGCGUCCCGUGAAUAUGUCCCUGCUCCUUGCA